GGGCAUGGUGGCAGGUGCCUGUAAUUCCAGCUACUCAGGAGGCUGAGGCAGGAGAAUUGCUUGAACCCAGGAGGGGGAGGUUGCAGUGAGCCAAGAUUGCACCAUUGCACUCCAGCCUAGGCAACAAGAGCGAAGCUCCAGUCAAAAAAAAGAAAAAAAAAAAGAAAGACCAUCUUGGGCUGGGUAUGGUGGCUCACACCUGUAAUCCUAGUAAUCCUAGCACUAGCACUGUGGGAGGCUGAGACAGGCGGAUCACUUGAGGUCAGAAGUUUGAGACCGCCCUGGCCAACAUGGUGAAACCCCAUUUCUACUAAAUAUACUAAAUUUACCCAAGCAUAGUGGUGCAUGCCUGUAGUCCCAGCUACUUGGGAGGCUGAGGCAGGAGAAUCACUUCAACCCAGGAGGUGGAGGUCGCAGUGAGCCAAAAUCAAACCACUGCACUCCAGCCGGGGUGACAGGGCAAGACUCCAUCUCAAAAAAAAACAAAAACAAAAAAGCCAGAGAGACAGAGAGAAAAGACCAUUUUGAAGAUGAAAUUUGAUUUUUGGAAGACUAUUAAAUAUGUUAAAGGCGUGAGCCACCGCGCCACCUGGCCUAUUUUAUCAAUAAUUUUUAAGCUGUUUUUAUUUUCCAAAGAUUACUAAAGUUACAUGAAUAAAAGGCAUUACAGUUUUUAUUUUAAAAUAUUUAAGUGCUUAUUUUUGUUUAAGCCAAUUAGAGCUCUUUUAUAUAAACAUUACACACACAACAACACAUAUAUAACUACACAGACAGACUGAAGAAGAUUACUACAGUAGUUGUAAGAUUUUUUCCCAGUUUUUAAGUUUCUUAAUUGGAUUAUUCACUUUAGGGCGGAGUCCUCGGAGGAACAGGGCCAGGAAAGGGUCUCUGGUGCCUCCUGUUUUUCCCAAGGAGCUCCAGGCUGUUAGAGCCUGAAUAUCUGCUUUUAAUUAAGCUGACUUUUAACCAUAGAACUCUUUAAUAAAGUCUUUCUAAAAUUUCUUAUUACCUGACUUUAGCCAGGCCAAAUGGCUGAUAUUUCUGGCUUUUAAACUUUACCAAAAGUAACCUCAUAGGUGCUCUGAGAAGGGAAAAUUCAAGACAGUUGGUGGAGGGGAAGAGAAUUUAAAAAUGGCAAAGGUCACCCAAAUAUUAAUCAGAAAGGUUCAUCCCUUAAUCUAGGGAUUGAACCCUGAACCCGGGCCGCCAUUCUGAAAAGAGAAAGCAUGGCCACAUAAUUACAAGGUCAAGCUCCCAAGGACAUAACUGACCAAUUUGCUGAGCCAUCUUGUAAAGUGGGCUUAUGGGCGUCCUAAGCCUGUGUUCUAUCCUAAGGUACCCCUCUUUAUGACAGAACAACACAGAAAGACACGCAAAGCACACCAGAUUUGCUACAGUUUAAGACCAGCCUCACAAAUCCUUUCUUCCAUUAAUCAAAAUUUACAGAGGAGAUAAACAGUGAUUUUUACCAUUCAUUCAAUGAGUUUGCACAGAGAGAGAGAGAGAGAUCAGAAGUCUGACUGGUAAGAAAUUCUUACCCUUUUGCCGGCAUACCAGGCUUCUGGGUUCUCUUUCCCUGAGUGGCCCUAAUGACCCAGCUGGCUGCACCAUAGUCCUGGGGGCCAAGACACAACACAAAGGAAAAUUUUCUUUUUUCAUUCUGGCCAGAGCAAAAUAUGUGUGAUAAAACACAGACAUUAGCCACUCUGCUUAGCAGCCAAUAUCAAACUGGCAAGACUUAAAUUUGCCCCCAGAUGGGCCCCAUUGUCUUUAAUCCAACCUCUGACUAGGAGUUUCAACAUAUGGUCUCUGGGCAAGAUGGUUUCCCUGAGUAACAGAAAAGAUAGGAAAGGAAAGGUAGAGAAAUAAAAGUAUUACCCAUGGCAGGAUGGGGAAGGUGAAGAGCUCAGGAAGGCCAGAGCAAGACCGACUCUUUGCAGCAAUACUGCAAAGUUCAGGCGGCCGAAUGUCAGUAGCAAAGAUGUCUUUUCCAGCAGUCCC
rnacentral:lncRNA from 1 species